rnacentral:rRNA from 1 species
GAUGAACGCUAGCUACAGGCUUAACACAUGCAAGUCGAGGGGAAACGACAUCGAAAGCUUGCUUCCGAUGGGCGUCGACCGGCACACGGGUGAGUAACGCGUAUCCAACCUGCCCACCACUUGGGGAUAACCUUGCGAAAGUAAGACUAAUACCCAAUGAUAUCUCUAGAAGACAUCUGAAAGAGAUUAAAGAUUUAUCGGUGAUGGAUGGGGAUGCGUCUGAUUGGCUUGUUGGCGGGGUAACGGCCCACCAAGGCGACGAUCAGUAGGGGUUCUGAGAGGAAGGUCCCCCACAUUGGGACUGAGACACGGUCCAAACUCCUACGGGAGGCAGCAGUGAGGAAUAUUGGUCAAUGGACGAGAGUCUGAACCAGCCAAGUAGCGUGCAGGAAGACGGCCCUAUGGGUUGUAAACUGCUUUUAUAAGGGAAUAAAGUGAGUCUCGUGAGACUUUUUGCAUGUACCUUAUGAAUAAGGACCGGCUAAUUCCGUGCCAGCCGCCGCAGUAA